GAAUCAGAGGCCGAUAUACGGUACUGUUUCUCCCAUAGCCAAGAUUCACGAGUCCAGGAAUCAAGGGGUGGAAAUGGAAGUGGCACCACUCACCAACACCCCUAGAGAUCCACUGGCAAAAUUUUUGCUUCCUGUUCCCAUGACAUUAUAUUUUGCUGGCCUAGAGGUCUUAGUUCCAGAGGGAGAAGCACUGCCGCCAGGAGACACAACAACGAUUCCAUUCAACUAGAAGUUAAGAUUGCCACCUGGACACUUUGGGCUUCUCUUACCUUGAAGUCAACAGGCUAAGAAAAGAGUUACUUGGCUGGGGCGAUUGACCCAGAUUAUCAACAUGAAAUCAGUCUACUACUCCACAACUGAGACAAGUAAAUAGGAAAUUCACAAUUUUUCCAGCAAAACUUGUAUGUGAAAAUAUAAGCAAAAUGAUAAAUGUGACUGGCCAACAAGCAAAAAACGUUGUUUACCAUCAAACAGCACCAAAACUUCUGGCUGUGUUAUUACCAAUUUGAAUGGACCUUUGCCGAAAGUCCCUUCAAGGAGCAAGAAGGUCAAAAUAUGGGAACAACCCAAAGACCUAUCAACUGAUAAAUGGAUGACCAUUAUCCUAUGAAGUAUUAUUCAGUUACAAAAAGGAAUGAAGCACUGAUAGAUGAUACAACAUGGGUCAAUUUUUGAAACAGAAGCCAAGCCACACUGCUAACUGAUGAGAGACCAACUUGAAAGAGGGAGGACCUGCCAAUUGCCAGCAGCACAACUCCAGAUAUAUGGGAGUCAGGCUUUAGGGCAAAAACCGGGGAUCACAGAAUGCUUGCUCAAUCAACUUUGCUCAUCCAAAAUCACAAAAAUCGCC